CAGUUGUUGGUUCUGGUCCCGGUGUUGUGGGUUCUGGUGUCAGUUCUGGGCCAAUUGUUGGUUCUGGUCACAGUGUUGUGGGUUCUGGUGUCGGUCCUGGUCCAACUGUUGGUUCUGGUCCUGGUGUUGGUUCAGGUGUUGGUCCUGGUUCUGGUGUUGGUUCAAUUGUUGGUCCUGGUCCAAUUGUUGGUUCUGGUCCCAGUGUUGGUUCAGGUGCUGGUCCUGGUUCUGGUGUCAGUUCUGGUCCCAGGGUUGGUCCGGGUGUUUUUCCUGGUCCUGGUGUUGGUCCUGGUUCUGGUGUUGGUCCAGGUGUUUUUCCUGGUCCCGGUGUCAGUCCUGGUUCUGGUGUUGGUCCAGGUUUUGGUCCUGGUCCUGGUGUCAGUUCCGGUCCCAGUAUUGGUCCAGGUGUUGGUCCUGGUGUCAGUCCCGGUUCCGGUGUCGGUUCUGGUUCUGGUGUUGAUGACAGUCCCAGUGUCAGCCCCUGGUCCCGUUGUUGGACCGGUGUCGGUUCUGGUCCCAGUGUUGUUCUGGUCCUGAUGCCGGUUCUGGUUCUGGUGUCGGUUCUGGUCCCGGUGUUGUUCCGGUCCUGGUGUACCUUAUGGUCCUGGUGUUGGUCCCGGUGUCGGUUCUGGUUCUGGUGUCAGUUCUGGUCCUGGUGUUGUUCCCAGUCCUGGUGUCGGUUCUGGUUCUGGUGUCAGUUCUGGUCCUGGUGUUGUUCCUGGUCCCGGUGUUGGUUCUGGUUCUGGUGUCGGUUCUGGUCCCGGUGUUGGUUCUGGUUCUGGUGUCGAUUCUGGUCCCGGUGUCAGACCCAGUAUUGCUGUCAGUCCCACUGUUGGUUCCGGUUCUGGUGGUACUGCUGGUUCCGGUGUCGCUCCCGGUCCAAAUUUUAAUCCAGUCCAGGCUUUAUUCCCAGCCCAGCUCUUGCUCUCAACUCCAGUCCAGGUUUUACCGGUUCCAGUCCAGGUUUUGCUCCCAACUCCAGUCCGGGUUUUAUUCCCACUCCGGUUUUGCUUCCAACUCCAGUCCAGCUCCCAACUCCAGUCCGGGUUUUACCGUCUGCUCCAGUCCGGGUUUUAUUCCCAGUCCAGGUUUUGCUCCCAACUCCAGUCCGGGUUUUAUUCCCACUCCAGUCCAGGUCUCACCGCCAGCUCCAGUCCGGGUUUUAUUCCCAGUCCAGUCCAGCUCCCAACUUCAAUCCGGGUUUUACCAUCAGCUGCAGUCCGGGUUUUAUUCCCAGUCCAGAUCCCAAAUCCAAUCCGGGUUUUACCUUCAGCUCCAGUCCGGGUUUUAUUCCCAGUCCAGCUCCCAACUCCAGUCCGGGUUUUACCGUCAGCUCCACUCCGGGUUUUAUUCCCACCCCACCUGUUGCUCCCAACUCCAGUCCGGGUUCCAGCUCCGGAUCGGCUGCUAUUGGUCCCGGUUCUGCCGGUCCCGGUCCCGGUUCGGCUGUUGCUGGCUCCGGUUCCGCCGUUCCCGGUCCGGUUCUGCCGUUGCCGGUCCCGGUCCGGCUGUUGUCAGCCCCGGUCCGGCUACUCUUGGUCCCGGUUCUGCCGUUCCCGGUCCGGUUCUACCGUUGCCGGUCCCGGUUCUGCCGCUCUUGGUCCCGGUUCUGCCGUUCCAGCCCCGGUUCGGCCGUUGCCGGUCCCGGUUCGGCUGCUGUUGGUCCCGGUUCUGCCGUUCCAGCCUCGGUUCUGCCGUUCCCAGUCCCGGUUCUGCCGCUCUUGGUCCCGGUUCGGCCGUUUCCGGUCCGGUUCGGCUGCUGUUGGUCCCGGUUCGGCCGUUUCCGGUCCG
ensembl:lncRNA